UUCAUAUCUUAAGGAAACAGCUUUUAAGUGCCUUUCUUCAGUUUUUCAAAAGCACAAGAUAGAUU
rfam:Tupaia chinensis contig230346, whole genome shotgun sequence.